AUCCGGUUGACGAGUCUCAAAUAGGACGAAACACACAUCCUGGAU
rnacentral:hammerhead_ribozyme from 1 species